AAGCAGAUCAAAUUAAAUAUAGAUGGUAAAAAAGAAGGUUAGAAUUUAAAAAUUAUUGAAUUAAUAAUUUUAAAGUUAGGGGUAUAAUUUAUAAGUUUAAAAUAAUUAUAUAUUUUUCAUAUGUUUGAUGCCUUGAAAUUUUAGGGAUAAACCAGGAUUAGAUACCCUGUUAUACUAAUAUUUAAAAAAUGAGAUUUAUUUCUACCAGGGUAGUACGAGUUAAAACUUAAAACUUAAAAGACUUGGCGGUGCUUUAUAUCUUUCUAGGGGAAUCUGUCCUAUAAUUCGAUAAUCCGCGGUUUAGCUGACCUAAAUUUGUAAAUUAGUAUUUAUACUAACAGUUAGUAUACCGUUGUUGAUAGGUGACUUUUAAGAAAAAGAUAAGUUAUCAAAUUGAAUAUUAAUUAUUUAUUAAUUAAUAGUUUGGGAUUUCAAAUCGAGGUGCAGCUGAUAUUUAGGAAGAGAUGGAUUACAAUAAAUAAUUUUUUAAUGGAUUAGUAAUUGUAAUUAUUAUUAUGAAAUUGGACUUAGGAGUAAUUUAAAGAUUAGAAUACUUAAAUGAAGAAUGCUCUAAGGUGUGCACAAAUCGCCCGUCGCUCU
rnacentral:rRNA from 1 species